rnacentral:lncRNA from 1 species
UGCGGCGGUUGGCGCCUAGUUAGCUAAUGUAGACAAGGCGGCCAUUGGGCUUUGGGCAGUAAGGGGAACUCCUGGGCCUCCCUUCCGCGGUCUUCGAGGAAGAACCGCUGCUGGUGGCGGCUCCUGGAAGGGCCGACUGCCACUCCGCCCUUGGCAGGAGGGGCGGCUUCGUUUACAGAGAAUUAAUUAGAGCCAACAUGGCCACGGGAGGAGGUCCUUUUGAAGAAGUCAUGCAUGAUCAGGACUUACCGAACUGGAGCAAUGACAGUGUGGAUGACAGACUCAAUAAUAUGGAGUGGGGUGGCCAACAGAAGAAGGCCAACAGAUCAUCAGAAAAGAAUAAGAAAAAGUUUGGUGUAGCAAGUGAUAAGAGGGUAACUAACGAUAUUUCUCCGGAGUCAUCACCAGGAGUUGGAAGGCGAAGAACAAAGGUC